GGAUGCAAUCAUACCAGCACUAAAGCACCGGAUCCCAUCAGAACUCCGAAGUUAAGCGUGCUUGGGCGAGAGUAGUACUAGGAUUGGUGACCUCCUGGGAAGUCCUCGUGUUGCAUUCC
rnacentral:rRNA from 1 species